AUGGCGAUGCUUGCUAAGCAAGCAUGGAGGAUCUUGCAAAACCCGGAAUCCCUCAGUGCUUGAAUCCUGAGAAGCAUAUACUUCCCCACGUCGUCUUUCCUGGAGGCUUCGUUGGGAAACCACUGUAGCCAAGGAUUGGUGAAACGGAUUGGCAAUGGAGAAUCCACGAAUAUCUGGAAUGAUAACUGGCUGCCUCGUACGGAAAUGAUGCGCUCGUAUGGGAGUAGGGUAGCGAACCCGCUUGCACAAGUUUCUGAUAUGAUUGAUGCGACCGUUGCCGCUUGGGACAUAGUGAGGGUAGCACAAAUAUUUAUUCCAAUGGAUGUUCCAGUUGUGCUGGGUAUACCUUUAUGCACAAGAAAUAUCGCUGAUUUCUGGUCUUGGCACUAUGAAAAAACUGGAGUUUUCAUGGUACGAUCGGCUUAUGCCAUGCUGGUCUCUACUAGGCAGAGGAGGGAGGCUUGGUUAGAGGACACAGCCGGAUCUUUGAGUGCACACUCGGAGGGUACAUCGUGGAAGUAUCUGUGGAAAGUUCAAGUACCAGGCAAGUUUCGGAUGUUCUUGUGGCGACUUGCAAAGCAAUCUUUGCCUACAGAGGACGUUAGAUCUCAUAGAAACAUGUCUACAACUACCUCUUGUGGAUUGUGCGGUGCGUCGGACUCCUGGCGUCACUCAUUGGUGGAGUGCACCUCGGCGAGAUGUGUUUGGGCCCUAGCAGAGGAA
rnacentral:rRNA from 1 species